rnacentral:rRNA from 1 species
UGCGUAGGCGGGCUAAUAAGUCAGUGGUGAAAUCUUUCGGCUCAACCGGGAAACUGCCAUUGAUACUGUUUAUCUUGAGUUCGGUAGAGGUAGGCGGAAUGUGUAAUGUAGCAGUGAAAUGCUUAGAUAUUACACAGAACACCAAUUGCGUAGGCAGCUUACUAUGCCGACACUGACGCUGAGGCACGAAAGCGUGGGGAGCGAACAGGAUUAGAUACCCUGGUAGUCC